rnacentral:rRNA from 1 species
UACGUAGGGUGCGAGCGUUAAUCGGAAUUACUGGGCGUAGAGCGUGCGUAGGCGGUUCGUUAAGUUCGUUGUGAAAGCCCCGGGCUCAACCUGGGAACUGCAAUGGAAACUGGCGGGCUUGAGUGUGGCAGAGGGGGGUGGAAUUCCGCGUGUAGCAGUGAAAUGCGUAGAGAUGUGGAGGAACACCGAUGGCGAAGGCAGCCCCCUGGGCUAACACUGACGCUCAGGCACGAAAGCGUGGGGAGCAAACAGG